AUGUGAAAAGGAAUUCUGCCAGUGAAAAUGGAUAAUAUUACAUAGGCACACAUAACUUGUGUUUAUUUCCUAGACAUGGGAGGGUUUAGUCUUGUUAUUGGACAUUUAUUUCAGAUAAAUUGUUAAUUUUGAUUAAUGGUUAUUUCAUGGCUUGGAAACAAGAAACUUUGAAUUGUUUCUUUUCAUGUGAAACUAUCUUUCCAUGGACUAAGAAAAGUUUUUUAUCGAGAGCUCAUGGGCUUACAAAUAUUAUAAAGUGAAGCAAUUUGUAUCGAAUAGUAAUCCUCUGCUGUGAAGUGUUCGUCCCACUGAAGCUUCCAUUGAGCACCAUGGACUAGGGAAAGAUUUUUUGUCGAAAGCUAUUUGGAUUAUUUGAUGGUUAAAUAUCUAGGAAACUGCUGAAAAUAGUGUAUCAAAGAAUAAUCCUUCGUGAAGUAACCAUCAUCGAAAGAUUAAUUCUUUGUCUAACAGUAACCAGACAUUUCUUGGCAAUUACAGAAGAUAAUUUGAAUAAUGAUGAGUGCCGUCACAAACGUAAUUGCCAAAUCAAGCACCAAACAAAUGAAAUGCAUAUUGCGCGAGUGUCUGGUCAGCGGUUUUACGAUUUUACCGGAAACAAUAAUUUGCUGGACGUCUUCGCCAAUUUCGAUCCCACAUUUACUUUCCUCUGAGUUAUCAAUGGAGCUCCAUUACGUCUCGCUCUUUACGUUUCGCUCGUCUCGUUACUGUCGGAUCGCCGAUAACGAAACCAACAAUUUGGUGACAUCAAAUUAA